rnacentral:rRNA from 1 species
GACGAACGCUGGCGGCGUGCUUAACACAUGCAAGUCGAACGGAAAGGCCUGCUUGCAGGGUACUCGAGUGGCGAACGGGUGAGUAACACGUGGGUGAUCUGCCCUGCACUUCGGGAUAAGCUUGGGAAACUGGGUCUAAUACCGGAUAGGAGCCAUCUUUAGUGUGGUGGUUGGAAAGUUUUUUCGGUGUAGGAUGAGCUCGCGGCCUAUCAGCUUGUUGGUGGGGUAAUGGCCUACCAAGGCGGCGACGGGUAGCCGGCCUGAGAGGGUGUACGGCCACAUUGGGACUGAGAUACGGCCCAGACUCCUACGGGAGGCAGCAGUGGGGAAUAUUGCACAAUGGGCGCAAGCCUGAUGCAGCGACGCCGCGUGGGGGAUGAAGGCCUUCGGGUUGUAAACUCCUUUCGCUAGGGACGAAGCUUUUUUGUGACGGUACCUAGAUAAGAAGCACCGGCUAACUACGUG